rnacentral:rRNA from 1 species
GACGAACGCUGGCGGCGUGCUUAACACAUGCAAGUCGAACGAAGUGGCGAACGGGUGAGUAAUACGUGAGUAACCUGCCCUCCUUUUUGGGAUAAGCCUUGGAAACGGGGUCUAAUACCGGAUAAAGGGGGAUGGGCUCGCGGGCUAUCAGCUUGUUGGUGGGGUGAUGGCCUACCAAGGCGGUGACGGGUAGCCGGCCUGGGAGGGGGGUCGGGCACCUUUGGACUGGGCUUCGGCCCAGACUCCUACCGGAAGCCGCAGUGGUGGAUAUUUCACCAUUGGCGGAAGCCUGGUUGAGGGACGCCGCGGGGGGGAUGAAGGGUUUCGGGGUGUAAACCUCUUUCGCUAUCUAACGGGUAGGUGGAGAAGAAGCGCCGGCUAACUACGUGCCAGCCGCCGCGGUAAUUC